CCAACUUUUCUCAGCACUGUCUCGGAACCAUCCAAAAAACAAUUCUAACCAUCUCACAGCGAAUGUAAACCACCCCAAAAUCACUAAAUCUGCCCCUGUUGAAUGUUUUCUUUAAAAAUUAGUUAAAGAUUAGAGAUGCUGCUUUCAGUAAUUGUAAUGGUGAACUGUGCCUUUGCAAUACAGUUUAAUAUUAAUGUGUAUGCUGCCUGCUGGGCUCCGUUUCUGCUCCUGAUAAUCCAGCCAGUCUGGAAUGAUUGUAGCAUACUGAGUGCACCAAUUUCUCCAGCAAUCAACUGCACCUUUGCCCUUUGAUGUACAAAGUGCCCUUUUGUCAAGGCAUUCAUUAACAUUAUUUAUUUAUUUUGCUUGUGGCCCUUCUGCUUGUGGCCCUUCAAGAAAAACAUUUAACAAUUAUCAAUAAUUUAGCUAUACAUAAAAUGACCGUCAUGGCCGCUGCCGUCAGUCACAGGAUGACCUUUCACCUGAGGUCAUGGUGACGUGUCCAAACAGUAGUAACUGAGUUGCUGCUGCAGACGAACGCUCAGUGGGAGAAAUAACAAUGAUUUGAUUUAAGUAAGUCGGUAAGUGGGCUUUGCAGCGGUGUUGUGUGCGCGUUGUUUGGUGUAUUUUACAAGAGGAAGUGAGAUGAACGUGCACGUUUGUUGUACAGCCUGUUCAGUUAGCCGUUAGCCGCCAGCUAACCACAGUCUGCUGCUUGAGUGGAAAAGUAUGACAGGUGUCGUGUUUCUGUAUGUAUUAGUUACUUUCUUUUGACAGGUGAAUUAUCUUUCUGUCCACCGUUUUAUAGAAUAUAUCAUUUUAUAUUCAAGUAAGUUAGCGUUAAUACUAGCUGGCGGCUAAUUUAGUUCAUCCCAUAAUGGAAAAACUAAAACGACACACUGCAUUUAUUGAAAUGCACCCUGAUCAGCGUCCACUGGAGCUUCAGAAGCUGUCAGACACUCAGGAGAGAAACUGAGACUCUGAGGAAGGUCCUUCCAGCUGUCAUGCAGUUACCUGAGGAAAUGACACAGCAAGAUCCCACAGACUCCUUAGCAAGUGAAGCAAUCACCCCUUCUCAAAAGCAUCAAUUCUUGUUGUGUCUGGAGAUCACCUGUCCAGUCUUCCAGUUGACUGCAGUUGCUUCUGAUGCAGCAGAAAGACAUGGACCUGGCUGCAGCAUACAGCUGAUGGAGUUUUGCAGAGUUUGGCCCACAGCAGAACAGAGGAGGGGUUUGAGUAUAAACAGGCUACAGAGAAGGCUACAUCAAUGGGCCUGGACCCCACAUCUGAGGUCCCUGGACAAGCUAGGAGGAGCAAAGUGCCAGCAAAGUUCAAGUUCGUUGCAAUGUCAGCUACUGCUGACCAUGCCUUCCCAACUUUGCAAGAGUACUACCGUGUAUAUAAGUGUAUGAAGUUUUUGUGGACAUAAUGGCACAAGAGCUUCAGAGACGCUUUAAAGGAGGAGAUAAUUCCACAUUGGAAAUCUUGAAUGCCCUCCAUUGCCUGACAGUCACAGAACAGGAAAACAGCAAGAAUUACAACAGAAGCACUCCAAGCUGUGAAGAAACUGACAGUUUUAUAACAUUAAAGAGGAAGACAAAUUGCAGAUAGAACUUAAGGUCUUUCAUACUUCAUACUCAUGCUCCCCACCAAUCAAUGUGACAUCUAUGCAUAAAAGAAAACAAUGCACAUCUGGUUUUUCUUGACAUGACUGAGCUGCUUAAGACAUACAGCACACUUCUGGUGUCCACAGCUACUGUGGAACUUUCUUUCUCAAAACUAAAGCUGGUGGAAACCAAACUUCUCAGCCUUUGCAAAGAGGAGACAUUGUCAGAGCUUCUUUGAUUGAUAAUUGAGAAGGAUGUUCCAAUCAACCACAUUGAUGGCCAGCAGUGAUGUUUACUCUCAGCCUCUCUCAGCAGCCGCUGCAGCACCACAGCAGAUCAAUGCAGUAACAGCAACAACAACAGCAGCAGCAGCAGCAACUGUACUAUGUUCCCCAUCAGGUAAAACAAAAGCCCCUUUUGCCUUACAUCACACUGGUGAUGCUCAACAUACUAUGAAGUGAUGAAAUGUAUCACUAUUGUUUUUAGUACCAUGGCUGAUCUGCAUAACAGCUACAGUUCAUAUGGCUGUAAGAAGUGACGAAGGUAAAUAACACUGACAGCUCUGUUUGCUGUACAGCUUGAUGUGUCGUCACAUUCAGUUUAUGAAGGUUUCUGCUCUUGUUUUUGUUUUGAAAUUGUGUAAACUUUUUUGUGAGAGAUGGUCACAGAUAAGUGAAUGUUUGGUUGCUAUGUGUGUCGUCAUCUUUGCAUCUGUUAUUGCUGUUAUAAUGAUAGGCAAUAAUUUAAUCAUUUUCAUGUUGAUGUUACACAGUCAGGAACAUCUGAGAUGCUAUUUGAUAGUUGAGAUGAGACAGCUGAGUGUGAUUUUACGCUGCUGAAUAAAACUGCUGUGACUUUAAA